rnacentral:lncRNA from 1 species
CCGGGGUGGAGGACUUUGUGGAGGAACCAAGGAAGCUCUAGAGCAGAGGUUCUCAACCUGUGAGUCUCAACCCUUUUGGGGGUCAUAUAUCAGAGAUUUACAUUACAAUUCAUAGCAGUAGUAAAAUUAUACUUAUGAAGUAGCAAUGGAAUAAUUUUAUGGUCAGGGAUCACCACAGCAUGAGGAACUGUAUUAAAGGGUCACAGCAUUAGGAAGGCUGAGAAUCAUUUUUCUGACUCACAUGGAAUUCUCUAGUGAACACCUCUUUGUCUUCAUUUUUGCCUGGACUCUGCUAGCUCCAUGGGCUGUGAUCAAUCUCUUUAGAAGCAUCCACCUUGAUGACUCAUCAUCCUUCAGAAGUCCCUGAAAGAUGCAUCUGUAUUCUCAUGGGGAGACUGGCUUUGUAGAAUCCACUAGACACUUCUGGGCUGAGUCUUCUGAAUGGUUUUGCAGUAGCCAAGUCCAGGCUUCCUGCCCUGGGCCAGGCUAUGCUGAGACUGUAAAGCCAGCAAUCAUCCUGGCUCUCAGGAAAGACGGUGUGUCCUAGAAGUCUAAACUGGCCGCCACUGGUGAUGGUUAGUGUUAGUGUCUGGAUGUGUAGAAAACCAUAGAAAUGUUUACACACAAUCCUAAGCUUGGUGGCGGAAUGAAACUGAAGCAGCUCUGUUAACGUGAGGCUGCCUUUGUGUCCUAUGCAGUUUGGUUUUCAUAGGAUCUUGUCCUUGUAGAAUAAUUUUGGAGCACUUCUGUCUUAGGGUUUCCAUUGCUGUAAAGCCACCAUGACCAAAGCAGCUCUUAUAAGGACAACAUCUA